CUUCUUUUCAUCCAUGAGCCCUGUUCACACCGCUGGGCAGUAGUGGUCGGUUGUCGGCAUAAUAGCCGAACCCUCCGCAAGUGACAGUUUGGCGAGAGUGGAGGACGGAAGCAAACCGCGAGAAAAAGAUUGCAAAAACAAAAACAAAGAUCGCAUUUGAGAAAGUGAGGAGUGAUUUGGAUAUUUCUUUCGUUUAUUAAUACGUGUAAGCAAGCAAGGAGUGUAAUUUAUGGAAUUUAUUGCCAAAAUAAUCGCCUAGAUUACCUGUAAGUAAAAUAAAAGUGAAUUAGAUUAUGGUUAAGAAAAUAACGCAAAAAUAUACUUACCCAGCUUGUACCACACGAGAGUCGAAGAAGAAUUGUAACCGUAGCUUCGCGCUGAUUUGUACGGUUGAUGUUGAAGAGGAGAUAACGGAAGUAGCAAAAGGAUCCGGAAGGAAGUUAUAUCGUAAGGCAGGAGGAAAACUAUUUGAUUUUUGAGCUGCUCCGAAAAGCUGCUGCAAAAUAAAUAAC